GCGUCGCUGGUGCAAAGGAUAGAGCACGCGCCCCUGGAUUGGGUGAAAUGCGGGUUCAAGUUCCGCUUGACGCA